UGCCAGACUCCUACGGGAGGCAGCAGUGAGGAAUAUUGGUCAAUGGGCGGGAGCCUGAACCAGCCAAGUCGCGUGAGGGAAGACGGUCCUACGGAUUGUAAACCUCUUUUGCCGGGGAGCAACGGGGUCCUUGCGAGGGCCCGAUGAGAGUACCCGGAGAAAAAGCAUCGGCUAACUCCGUGCCAGCAGCCGCGGUAAUACGGAGGAUGCGAGCGUUAUCCGGAUUUAUUGGGUUUAAAGGGUGCGUAGGCGGGCUGUUAAGUCAGCGGUAAAAUGUCGGGGCUCAACCCCGGCCUGCCGUUGAAACUGGUUUUCUAGAGUUGGAGAGAAGUAUGCGGAAUUCGUGGUGUAGCGGUGAAAUGCAUAGAUAUCACGAAGAACUCCGAUUGCGAAGGCAGCAUACCGGCUCCAUACUGACGCUGAGGCACGAAAGCGUGGGGAUCGAACAGGAUUAGAUACCCGAGUACA
rnacentral:rRNA from 1 species